UACAGAGGUCUCAAGCGUUGUUCGGAUUCAUUGGGCGUAAAGGGUGCGUAGGCGGCGCCGUAAGUCGGAUGUGAAAUCUCAGGGCUCAACCCUGAAACUGCAUUCGAUACUGCGGUGCUCGAGGACUCGAGAGGAGAUUGGAAUUCACGGUGUAGCAGUGAAAUGCGUAGAUAUCUGGAGGAAUACCGGUGGCGAAGGCGGCAUCCUGGACCGACAUUGACGCUGAGGAGCGAAAGCCAGGGGAGCAAACGGG
rnacentral:rRNA from 1 species